AAUUGCUUUAGGGAGAACUGGAAUUUCCUUGUGUAGCGAUGAAAUGCGCAGAUAUCAGGAGGAACACCCAUGGCGAAGGCAGGUCUCUGGGCAGUAACUGACGCUGAGGAGCGAAAGCAUGGGGAGCGAACAGGAUUAGAUACCCUGGUAGUCCAUGCCGUAAACGUUGGGCACUAGAUGUGGGGGACAUUCCACGUUCUCCGUGUUGUAGCUAACGCAUUAAGUGCCCCGCCUGGGGAGUACGGCCGCAAGGCUAAAACUCAACGGAAUUGACGGGGGCCCGCACAAGCGGCGGAGCAUGCGGAUUAAUUCGAUGCAACGCGAAGAACCUUACCAAGGCUUGACAUGGACUGGAUCGGGCUAGAAAUAGUCUUUCCCUUCGGGGCUGGUUCACAGGUGGUGCAUGGUUGUCGUCAGCUCGUGUCGUGAGAUGUUGGGUUAAGUCCCGCAACGAGCGCAACCCUCGUUCCAUGUUGCCAGCACGUGAUGGUGGGGACUCAUGGGAGACUGCCGGGGUCAACUCGGAGGAAGGUGGGGACGACGUCAAAUCAUCAUGCCCCUUAUGUCUUCGGCUUCACGCCUGCUACAAUGGCCGGUACAAUGGGUUGCGAUACUGUGAGGUGGAGCUAAUCCCAAAAAGCCGGUCUCAGUUCGGAUUGGGGUCUGCAACUCGACCCCAUGAAGUAGGAGUCGCUAGUAAUCGCAGAUCAGCAACGCUGCGGUGAAUACGUUCCCGGGCCUUGUACACACCGCCCGUCAAGUCACGAAAGUUGGUAACACCCGAAGCUGGUGGCCUAACCCCUUGUGGAAGGA
rnacentral:rRNA from 1 species